AUGCCGUUGUACAGUAGUCUGCACAUUGGUUAGACUGGGCAGGGGAGCUCAACACCACGGACGACUGGGGACAGAAGUUGCUGUUUCCACGGAGAAGACUUAUGUUUGCUUUUUCAAAUCUCACACCCAGUGUUUUUCUUCACAGGUUUUGCACACUAGGGACCAGGAAGCCCUCCGGGACACCGCUGAGAAAGAACUGCUGGAAAGAAGACCUGUGGGAGAUAUACAAAUAUUUUAGAGGUCAUGGGAUCUAUUCCAGAGGAAACUAACCAACAGUGACAUCUUCAAGUAAAACUACCCCUCGAUAUGAUGGUUGCAUGCAUCAUUCCUUUAAUUGAGCAGAGUUAACUGGAUCAAAUUAUUUAUGGGAGAGAGAGGGAAAGCUAUACUGAAUUACAGUAAUUUUUAAUUUCCACCAAUAUACUCUUUGUAAGUGAAUCACUCUAAAUAUUUUCUGUUACGCUGAAUACAGCAAAAAUAACAAAAUAGUUUCUCAAGGUAUUUGUUUUUGCAUACCCUGACCUUGUAAUUAUCUAAAUAGCAGCCAAAUUUACUGAUGUUUUGGAGUUUGUCAGGAAAAAAAAAAAAAGAUUUUUUUUCUGUUUGUCAGAAACAGAAUCAGACAUUUAUUUUCUUGAAAUCAAAUAAAUUGGAAAUUUCACUUAUCAACUCUUUGUUAAAAUUGUACCAUAUCUAAUUAAUGCUUAAAAGUUCAGAUGUGUAGAAACUGUAAUUUUUUCAGUCUCUAAAAACAUUUGCCUCUCCGUAAAGUUUCUACUUGCUAAUUUCUCAGAAUUUUAUAAUUAAAGGGAAAUAACAAACUAUGUGUUUUCCUUAAAAUUCUUUGAAAAAAAUUCUGAAGUACAUACUCCUUGGACGAUAACGUUUUAUUUUGAUUUUGAAGAAAUCCCACUUAUUGGAAUUUUGACUCUCUAAAUAUUUUGGUUUUUAAAGGGUAAGGGAACUUGUGAAUUGAUUAUUUAUAUUAAAAUAGCCAAUAGAAUUAUUCUUGAGUCAUCAGAAUUAAAUUUACUGCAUAUUUAACACCAUUAGCUCUUUCUUAUACAAAUUAUAAGAAAAUUUCCCAAAGGAUCUGGUUUUACUUUUUUGGAUAUGAAAUGAAGUUUCCCUUUUCUGUGUUUAAGGUACUAUUUUGUACCUGUAUCCUACUACCAAUGUCCAAAACACAUUCUGAGCAUCACUGUGUGUAACAACUUUUAGUUUAUACCCUUUUGAUUCAUGGCAUGGUGCUGUAGUUAAUUAGGAGAAGAAGCACUUAAGCUCACAACUGCUUUUUAUUUGGUUUUCACAUCCAUACUUAAAAACUUUACAUUAAAAAGAAUAUGAGAAAUUUAAAUAAGUUCCUGUUGCUUUAUGGAGUACUGGCAAAAAUACAUUCCCUUGUAAAAUCCCACUCUUAAAGCAUCAGAUACCAAAGUUGGCUGGUUGAACUGCCAGAUACAUUAGGCUCAUUAAUUAUUUUGAAAAUGGCUGCCAUUUCCAUGUAAGUGACAAGUUUCUUUUUCAUGGGCUAUGGUACUUAUCUACUACAAGAAACAUGUAUAAACAGAGUCUUUAUCUUUAACUUCAGUAUUAAAAUAUGCAGACUUUUUGUGAAGAGGAAAAACAUCUGGUUCAAUUACUCUGAACUCUGACUGCAUGUGGGCCAGUAAUAAUAAUAUGAAUUGGAUUUAAGAAUAAACCUUAUAUUUAAUCUUUUGUUUUGUUUUUCCUUAAAAUUUCGAUGUGAGUUUUCUGUUACAUCAAUUUUCCAUGUUAGCACAUUUGGAACAAAUGUAAAAGUGUACAUUCUGAAUAAAGUCAAAAGUCUAACUUGUUUUAGUUCCAUAAUGUUGUAAUGUUUAAUUCUAUUGUGUGUUUUUCUCCCUUUCCCCUGACCCUCCAAAAUCACCAAAUCUGGAAAACAGACUGAUUGUAUCUGCCCAUGAGCAAAGGAAACCCGAAGGAACCAAGGGCCUGGCUGGACGGAGUUGUCAUGUGACUGCCUGUCUACACUUGCUGUGCAGAACAUCCGCUCACCUGUACAGCAGGCACAGACAGGCAGUCACACGACAACCCAGCCUGAAUGACAACCAGCCAUUGAAAAGAAAGCAGCCCUCACACCAUAGCAUCUACACCAAGAGCUACAACCAAAAUGAGGGGCGCGGGGGCCUGGGGUUUUAAUCUGUUGGUUUAAUACUUAAUUCGUAUGUAUUAUUAUAUUUUGAUUCGAAUAUUGAAACCCACCCAAAGUAAAGUGA